GGAGAGGUGGCUGAGUGGCCGAAAGCGGCGGUCUUGAAAACCAAAUUUAGGGGGUUAGCCUAAGUUUCUGAAUCAAUUAGGAAUAUGGGCUAACCCUUUCUU
rnacentral:tRNA from 1 species